rnacentral:tRNA from 2 species
GAUUCCGUAGCUCAGCUGGGAGAGCACCACCUUGACAGGGUGGGGGUCGCUGGUUCGAACCCAGUCGGGAUCACUA